GAGGUGCCUACUAGAGCACACGGCUCAUAAUCGUGGUGUCGCGGGUUCGAGUCCCGCCCUCG
rnacentral:tRNA from 1 species